rnacentral:rRNA from 1 species
GACGUAGGUGGCGAACGUUAUCCGGAAUUAUUGGGCGUAAAGGGUGCGUAGGCGGCAUGAUAAGUUAUUGGCGGUAAAUCGAGGCUCAACCUCGUGGAAACUGAUAAUACUGUUUUGCUUGAGUACAGGAGAGGUUAACGGAACUCCAUGUGGAGCGGUAAAAUGUGUAGAUAUAUGGAAGAACAUCAAUAACGGCGAAGGCAGUUAACUAUUCUGUCACUGACGUUGAGGCACGAAAGCGUGGGGAGCAAAAAGG